rnacentral:rRNA from 1 species
AAACAUGUCUUUUUGGAUUAAUAUAAAGUUUGACCUGCCCGGUGAAAAUUUUUAACGGCCGCGGUAUUAUGACCGUGCAAAGGUAGCAUAAUCAUUUGUCUUUUAAUUGAAGGCUUGUAUGAAUGGUUGGAUGAGAUAUAAACUAUUUUUAUUUAAUUAAAAAUGAAUUUUAAUUUUUAGUAAAAAUGCUAAAAUAAAUAAAGAAGACGAGAAGACCCUAUAAAUCUUUAUUUUUAUAAAAUAAUUAGUUUUUUAGAUUAAAUAUAAUUAAUUUUUUUAUAAAAAUUUUAUUGGGGUGAUAAAAAAAUUUAAUUAACUUUUUUUUAUUUAUAUUUAUAUAAAAAAAUUUAUGAUCCAUUAAUAAUGAUUAAAAAAUUAAGUUACUUUAGGGAUAACCGCGUAAUUAUUUUAGAGAGUUCAUAUCGAUAGAUUAUGUUGCGACCUCGAUGUCGAAUUACCAGUAGGUUUAGGUGUAGAAGUUUAAAUUNUAAGUC